UCUGAAAUUGAACGCUCAAAUUAUAAAAGGAGCUUGUAAGACUAAAACGUGGGGUAGUAUCUGAACACUCUUAUGUCAAUGUCAAAAGAGGUAAUACUAGCCUAACCUAUGUGUGUGCACAAUAACAAUUCUUCAUUAUUAAAUAAUAAACAAAAUGUUGAACAAUAUUGUAGCAAGAACUUUAGUACAUUCUAACACUAGAAACUUCAAAAACUUUGGCCAUAAGAGACAGCCUAUACCUGGAGUAACAACGCUUUGGCAUGGAUUCUUAACUUUUACGUUUAUCGGACUUGCAGUCGAAUGGAAAAGAAUAGCAAGAUUUAUGCUAGGUGAUGAUGAUGUGACAAUAUCAUGGGAUCCUACAGACCCUGUCCCAAAGGAAUAAUAGGUAAACUUUAAAUAAUUUAAAUAUAAUUUGUACAAAGCCAUGUAUUUUACAUGUAGUUUUUAAUGAUGGUACAUUGUUGUGUAGUUAAUAAUGUAUUUUUAAAUAAAACUUGUUCUUGGAAG